AACGAACGCUGGCGGCAUGCCUAACACAUGCAAGUCGAACGAGACCUUCGGGUCUAGUGGGGCACGGGUGCGUAACGCGUGGGAACCUGCCCUUAGGUUCGGAAUAACUCCCCGAAAGGGGUGCUAAUACCGGAUAAUGUCUUCGGACCAAAGAUUUAUCGCCUUUGGAUGGGCCCGCGUUGGAUUAGCUAGUUGGUAGGGUAAAAGCCUACCAAGGCGACGAUCCAUAGCUGGUCUGAGAGGAUGAUCAGCCACACUGGGACUGAGACACGGCCCAGACUCCUACGGGAGGCAGCAGUGGGGAAUAUUGGACAAUGGGCGAAAGCCUGAUCCAGCAAUGCCGCGUGAGUGAUGAAGGCCUUAGGGUUGUAAAGCUCUUUUACCCGGGAUGAUAAUGACAGUACCGGGAGAAUAAGCGCCGGCUAACUCCGUG
rnacentral:rRNA from 1 species